ensembl:snoRNA Gm23514 small nucleolar RNA SNORA61
AUCCUCCAGUUUCCCUUUCCCAUCAGAUCUUGACACUAGUCUUGGUAGUCGUAAGGGAGGAAGAGUACCCUGAAGCUGGUCUCACAGAGAUGCAGUCAGCUGUAGAGCAACAGUCCAGACUCAGACAUGC